rnacentral:rRNA from 1 species
GAUGAACGCUGGCGGCGUGCCUAAUACAUGCAAGUCGAGCGAAGCGGGGACGGGUGAGUAACACGUGGAUAACCUCCUCUAAGACUGGGAUAAACUCGGGAAACCGGAGCCAAACCGGAUGCUUAUCCAUUGAUCCGCUCUGCAUUAGCUAGUUGGUAAGGUAACGGCUUACCAAGGCAACGAUGCAUAGCCGACCUGAGAGGGUGAUCGGCCACACUGGAACUGAGACACGGUCCAGACUCCUACGGGAGGCAGCAGUAGGGAAUCUUGCGCAAUGGGCGAAAGCCUGACGGAGCAACGCCGCGUGUGUGAUGAAGGUCUUCGGAUUGUAAAACUCUGUUAUUAGGGAAGCGGUACCUGAACAGAAAGCCACGGCUAACUACGUGCCAGCAGCCGCGGUAAUUC